rnacentral:rRNA from 1 species
GACGAACGCUGGCGGCGUGCUUAACACAUGCAAGUCGAGCGGUAAGGCCCUUUCGGGGGUACACGAGCGGCGAACGGGUGAGUAACACGUGGGUGACCUGCCUCUAGCUCUGGGAUAAGCCUGGGAAGCUGGGUCUAAUACCGGAUAUGACCUCGCGGUGCAUGUUGCGGGGUGGAAAGCCUUGUGCGGCUAGGGAUGGGCCCGCGGCCUAUCAGCUUGUUGGUGGGGUGANGGCCUACCAAGGCGACGACGGGUAGCCGGCCUGAGAGGGCGACCGGCCACACUGGGACUGAGACACGGCCCAGACUCCUACGGGAGGCAGCAGUGGGGAAUCUUGCGCAAUGGGCGAAAGCCUGACGCAGCGACGCCGCGUGAGGGAUGACGGUCC